GACGAACGCUGGCGGCGUGCUUAACACAUGCAAGUCGAACGGAAAGGCCCUGCUUUUGUGGGGUGCUCGAGUGGCGAACGGGUGAGUAACACGUGAGUAACCUGCCCUUGACUUUGGGAUAACUUCAGGAAACUGGGGCUAAUACCGGAUAGGAGCUCCUGCUGCAUGGUGGGGGUUGGAAAGUUUCGGCGGUUGGGGAUGGACUCGCGGCUUAUCAGCUUGUUGGUGGGGUAGUGGCUUACCAAGGCUUUGACGGGUAGCCGGCCUGAGGGGGCGACCGGCCACAUUGGGACUGAGAUACGGCCCAGACUCCUACGGGAGGCAGCAGUGGGGAAUAUUGCACAAUGGGCGGAAGCCUGAUGCAGCAACGCCGCGUGCGGGAUGACGGCCUUCGGGUUGUAAACCGCUUUCGCCUGUGACGAAGCGUGAGUGACGGUAAUGGGUAAAGAAGCACCGGCUAACUACGUG
rnacentral:rRNA from 1 species